rnacentral:rRNA from 1 species
GGGCCCGCACAAGCGGUGGAUUAUGUGGAUUAAUUCGAUGCAACGCGAAAAACCUUACCUAGCCUUGACAUGUACCGAAUUUAGCAGAGAUGCUUUAGUGCUCGUAAGAGAACGGUAACACAGGUGCUGCAUGGCUGUCGUCAGCUCGUGUCGUGAGAUGUUGGUUAAGUCCCGCAACGAGCGCAACCCCUUGCCAUUAAUUGCCAUCAUUUAGUUGGGCACUUUAAUGGGACUGCCGGUGACAAACCGGAGGAAGGUGGGGAUGACGUCAAGUCCUCAUGGCCCUUAUGGCUAGGGCUUCACACGUAAUACAAUGGUCGGUACAGAGGGUCGCCAACCCGCAAGGGGAGCC